GACGAACGCUGGCGGCGUGCUUAACACAUGCGAGUCGAACGGAAAGGCCCUGCUUUUGUGGGGUGCUCGAGUGGCGAACGGGUGAGUAAAACGUGAGUAAACUGCCCUUGACUUUGGGAUAACUUCAGGAAACUGGGGCGAAUAUCGGAUAGGAGCUCCUGAUGCAUGGUGGGGGUUGGAAAGAUUCGGCGGUUGGGGAUGGAAUCGCGGCUUAUCAGCUUGUUGGUGGGGUAGUGGCUUACCAAGGCUUUGACGGGUAGCCGGCCUGAGAGGGUGACCGGCCUCAUUGGGACUGAGAUACGGCCCAGACUCCUACGGGAGGCAGCAGUGGGGAAUAUUGCACAAUGGGCGGAAGCCUGAUGCAGCAACGCCGCGUGCGGGAUGACGGCCUUCGGGUUGUAAACCGCUUUCUCCUGUGACGAAGCGUUAGUGACGGUAAUGGGUAAAGAAGCACCGGCUAACUACGUG
rnacentral:rRNA from 1 species